GAUGAACGCUGGCGGCGUGCCUAAUACAUGCAAGUCGAGCGAACAGACGAGGAGCUUGCUCCUCUGACGUUAGCGGCGGACGGGUGAGUAACACGUGGAUAACCUACCUAUAAGACUGGGAUAACUUCGGGAAACCGGAGCUAAUACCGGAUAAUAUAUUGAACCGCAUGGUUCAAUAGUGAAAGACGGUUUUGCUGUCACUUAUAGAUGGAUCCGCGCCGCAUUAGCUAGUUGGUAAGGUAACGGCUUACCAAGGCAACGAUGCGUAGCCGACCUGAGAGGGUGAUCGGCCACACUGGAACUGAGACACGGUCCAGACUCCUACGGGAGGCAGCAGUAGGGAAUCUUCCGCAAUGGGCGAAAGCCUGACGGAGCAACGCCGCGUGAAUGAUGAAGGUCUUCGGAUCGUAAAGCUCUGUUAUUAGGGAAGAAAAAAUGUGUAAGUAACUAUGCACGUCUUGACGGUACCUAAUCAGAAAGCCACGGCUAACUACGUG
rnacentral:rRNA from 1 species